CAGUCGCCGCGGUAAUACGUAGGGUGCAAGCGUUAAUCGGAAUUACUGGGCGUAAAGCGUGCGCAGGCGGUUCUAUAAGACAGAUGUGAAAUCCCCGGGCUCAACCUGGGAACUACAUUUGUGACUGUAGAGCUGGAGUGCGGCAGAGGGGGAUGGAAUUCCGCGUGUAGCAGUGAAAUGCGUAGAUAUGCGGAGGAACACCGAUGGCGAAGGCAGUCCCCUGGGCCUGCACUGACGCUCAUGCACGAAAGCGUGGGGAGCAAACAGGAUUAGAUAUCCCGGUAGUCCCUGUCUCUUAUAC
rnacentral:rRNA from 1 species